rnacentral:rRNA from 1 species
UACGUAGGGUGCAAGCGUUAAUCGGAAUUACUGGGCGUAAAGCGUGCGCAGGCGGUUAUGUAAGACAGGUUGUGAAAUCCCCCGGGCUCAACCUGGGAACUGCAUCUGUGACUGCAUAGCUAGAGUACGGUAGAGGGGGAUGGAAUUCCGCGUGUAGCAGUGAAAUGCGUAGAUAUGCGGAGGAACACCGAUGGCGAAGGCAAUCCCCUGGACCUGUACUGACGCUCAUGCACGAAAGCGUGGGGGAGCAAACAGGG